GUACACACUGCACAGUCUCGUCUCAACGGUGCAAGGAGUCUGUUUGAAACCUGCAUCCUCUUGUGAUUCGGCUGAAAAUGCUGGCAAAAGUGGAAUAUGGGGAGUCCAAAAAUACAUUAAAGUUCCUCAAACUGAUGACAAUUUCCAUUUCCUCCAGUUUCUUCAAGAAGCAACGGACAAAUUUAGUCUGCAGGCUCAACAUCUAUCCGAGGGUGUGUUAGCCUUGACUGAUGCAUCAGAUACCGAGGUUGAUGCAGACACAUUUGAUGAGCUGAUGAAGUCAGGGGUCCGAAACUUCAAGGUUGGAUACCGCAAGUACCCAGUAACGGGUAAGGAUAAA